rnacentral:rRNA from 1 species
UACGGAGGAUGCAAGCGUUAUCCGGAAUGAUUGGGCGUAAAGCGUCCGCAGGUGGCAAUGUAAGUCUGCUGUCAAAGCGUCUGGCUCAACCAGAUAAAGGCAGUGGAAACUACAUAGCUAGAGUAAGGUAGGGGUAGAGGGAAUUCCUGGUGUAGCGGUGAAAUGCGUAGAGAUCAGAAGGAACUCCGGUGGCGAAAGCGACGUGCUGGACCUCUUCUGACGCUGAGGCGCGAAAGCUAGGGGAGCGAACGGG